CCUUGGUACUGCUGGGGGAGGGAAAGAGUCCUGGCUGUCCAGCAGGCCUCUUGUGACACUAGCCCUAGAGAAGAAGAGAGAGCCUCACUGCAGCCUGCAGAGAUAUGACAGUGAGCCCGGAAAACUGGCCUGAAUCAAAGGAGAAUUAAAACCUGCUGGAAUGAGCAAAGAAGAUCUUCCUUCAGAGACUCCACAUGGGCCUCCAGGUCGGAUUUGCACAAGGUCAGCUCAUCCAGGAUUCCAUGCAGGCCGCUGAUGUCAGCCUGUAACAGCUGGCGAAGGGACAGUUCACUGUCGUACCUUUCACAGCAAAAGAGAAAUCCAACACUUAUUCUGUUGAAUGCUGUGCAAAGUGUGAGGAUACAUGGAGGAUCGACAUAUGAAUUUCAGGAAGCCACAUGCAGAAUUUCUCUUAAUUCCUGAGUAAUGAUAAAUUCAAGCUUUUAAGACAUUCUUAACUUUAAGAUAUUAUAUAGAGAAUAUUUGUGUGUGUGUGUGAGAGAGAGAGAGAGUGUGUGUGUGUUUGUGUGUGUGUGUGUGUGUGUGUGUGUGUGAGAGAGAGAGAGAGAGAGAGAGAGAGAGAGCGCCAUAAAUUAUUUUCAAAAUAAAAUUAAGCCUGGGUGUGGUGGCUCAUGCCUGUAAUCCCAGCACUUUGGGAGGCCAAGGCAGGCAGAUCACCUAAGGUCAGGAGUUUGAGACCAUUCUGGCCAGCAUGGUGAAACCUCUUCUCUACUAAAAAUACAAAAAUUAGCUGGGCAUGGCAGCACAUGCCUGUCUGUAAUCGCAGCUACCUGGGAGACUGAGGCAGGAGACUCGCUCAAACGCAGGAGGCGGAGGUUGCAGUGAACCAUGAUAGUGCCACUGCACUCCAGCCUGAGCAACGAGGGAAACUCCACCUCAAAAUAAAUAAAUUAAAUAAAAUUCAACUCACUUUGACUUAAAAUCCUCAGUGGCCAGUUUGCAGUUGUCAAGCUGUACAGCAAGUCUAGAAUUCUCUGCCUUCGUGCAUAAGAUCUGUGAAGAAAGUCCUUAUUUAAUAAAGUAUUCUUUGAGAGAAACCUAAAUAAACUACUAUCCAACAGCUAUGCCAUUAGUUAUCCUUUGAAAGUCUUUAUAAGAAAGUGUAAAAUGGCCGUUAGCUGCUUUCCGUAUUCACCGUGUCACUUGAUGAAGCAAACAAGCAGUGCCAAUUCAGAAACAAAAUAGAGACAUAAAAAGGUUCACUUUUUCUCAUAACAUAAGACAUUUUGCACUAUUCCUAGGCAGUGGAACGCCAUUAACGUUUUUCUCCAUCAGUAGUUUGUAUUAUGACUAUACCCUCUCCCAUAAUGGAAAUUCAUCAGGGAGAGAAGAAAAUGACUAGGUGGUUAAAAAGAUGGCAUUUCAUGAUCUGUGUUCAGAUAAUAUAAAUGUUCAGUGUCACAUACAAAAGCGAUUUUGGAUAUAACACAGUCUUUUUGCAUUCUAUAGAUGACGAAGGAAAAGUCCACAGACAAGUUACUUUGUUAUAGUUACUCAGUAAUCAGGGGUAGCUUUAGGGGUGGGACUGAGGUUUCCCGACUUCCAGCACAGUGCUCUUCCCUAUGUACCAUUAACUUGUAGAACUCUCCUUUCUCUUGGUUUCCUUCUGUA